GGCAGAGAUGGGCUCAGGGAUGCAGCACCCGGCACUCACGCGGGUGCGAUGCUCAGCCCCACGUUGCUGCCUCAGCACGCUCCCCAGUUGGGGUGAGUGGGACCCGCAGGGGGGGUGAGCAUCAUCCCCAGUUUGGGCAAGGAGCAUCACUAGUUUGAGUGAGUAGCAUUCCCGUUUGGAUGAGCAGCAUCACCAGUUUGCGUGUUAUUCCCAGUUUGGGUGAGUGUUAUUCCCAGUUUGCGUGAGCAGCAUCCCCAGUUUGGCCAGUGGGCAUUGGAGGGGAUGGGAGGGUGUUCAGAGGUCCCCAGUGACACAGGGAUGCUGCCAGGAUCCCGUCUCCCCUCUCC